rnacentral:lncRNA from 1 species
CCUUGAUGUGAAUGAGGAAUGCGGAGGAGCCCAUGCAAAAGCAGAUUUACUGGAAAGGAGAACUGGAAAUUUCAAGGGAGCUGAAGACUAUAGGAUGUCAACUGUGGAUACAACUCACAAGCUACCAUAUUGAUGUGACAUGAUGAAGUGGGAAGGAAAGCCAUCUGGAGUUUCACUGGUGAAUUGAUACAUCUUGCACUUAACAUUGUGUAUCCCCUGGACUUUGAUCAAAUGGACAUGGGCUUUCUGAUCUACUGCAGAGUGCCUGGAAAUUCAGAGACACAACAAAGAGGAAGACUCCUUGAUUAGUGAUCAUCAUCAUCAUCAUCAUCAUCAUCAUCAUGGAAUCAAAGGAGAUCAUUUUGGAGCUUCAAGAUUUGACUGCCCUGGCCGGGUGCGGUGGCUCAUGCCUGUAAUCCCAGCACUUUGGGAGGCCGAGGCUGGUGGAUCACCUGAGGUCAGGAGUUUGAGACCAGCCUGACACAUGGAGAAACCCCAUCUCUACUAAAAAAAUUACAAAUUAGCCAGGCUUGGUGGUGCAUGCCUGUAAUCUCAGCUACUCAGGAGGCUGAGGCAGGAGAAUUGCUUGAACCCAGGAGGCAGAGGUUGCGGUGAGCUGAGAUUGCGCCAUUGCACUCCAGCCUGGGCAACAAGAGAAAAACUCCAUCUCAAAAAAAAAAAAAAAAAAAAAAAAAUGUGACUGCCCCACUGGGUUUCAGACUUGCAUGGGGCCUGUAGACCCUUUGUUUUGGCCAAUUUCUUCCAUUUGGAAUGGGAGCAUUUAUCCAAUGCCUAUACCCCCAUUGUGUCUAGGAAGUAACUAACUUGUUUUUGAUUUUACAGGCUCCUAGGAGAAAGGAACUUGCAUUAUCUCAGGUGAGACUUUGGACUUGGACUUUUGGAUUAAUGCUGGAGUGAUAUAAGACUUUGGGGGACUGUUGGGAAGGCCUGAUUGUGUUUUGAAAUGUGAGAACAUGAGAUUUGAGAGGGUCCAGGGGUGGAAUGAUAUGGUUUGGCUGUGACCCCACCCAAAUCUCAUCUUGAAUUGUAAUCCCGAUAAUCCCACCUGUUGAGAAGGGGCCUGGUAAAUGAUGAGAUCAUGGAGGCGUUUUCCCCCAUGCUGUUCUCAUGAUAGUGAGUUCUCAGGAGAUCUGAUGGUUUUAUAAAUGGCAGUUUCCCCUAAGCUUUUCUCUCUCUUCUGCUGCCUUGUGAAGAGGUACUUGCUUCUCCUUCACCUUCUAUCAUGAUUGUAAGUUUCCUGAGGCCUCCCCAGCCAUGUGGAACUGUGAGUCAAUUAAAC